GCUCAGGCGGCCGCGCGGGGGGCGCCGUGCGCGGCUGGGCCCGCGGCUGGGGCGCGGGGCGGGUGGUGUGUCACGUGCCCGGCGGUCGUUCCACCGCCUCUGCCGCCGCCCCCCUCCUCUGCCUGCUCCAUCGCCCCACCCGGAGGCCAUCGGGGCGCUCCGGGCGGCGCCGAGGCUGUGGUCCCUCCGGAGGCGUCUUUGGGAAACGCUGGGCAGCCUCCGCUGGCAUGCCGGAUCUUAGUUCCCUGACCAGGGAUCGAACCCAUGCCCCUUGCAGUGGAAGCUUGGAGUCUUAACCACUGGACCGCCAAAGAAGUCUCUCAGCUGCUGACUGUGAUGAUAAAAGACCGCGCACAGACCACAACAGGAACCAUCCUCUGGGGUUCUGGCAGCUCCAGUGCCCUCGGCUCGUGGAUCAUGAAACCAAGGCCGGCACACGGUAGGGGCUGAGCUGAGGCCCACAGCAGCCUUUCCUGACCUCCGCACCUGGCCAGGCUCUCCCAUCGCCUGAGCCUCGUCUCUUCCACCACCAGAUGGGAAGCCCUGAAGAAGGUUCCGCCCCAUCCGAGGCCCGUCACACAGUGCCUGGCACACAGUAGGUGCUCAGCAAACAUGGGGAGGUGAGUGUGACAUCAGCUAGCAGUGUUUCCUGAACACCUAAUUUGAGGCUCCCCACUUGUGGAGUGUUUCCUGACACCCUGGCCUGCUCCCCAGAACCCCAGAACUGCCGCCUCUCGAGAACUCCUGCUGGUCCCACCCCAGGUCAGCACUUGAGAGCCUGCUUUGUGUAAGACGAAGGCCCUGGCACCCGUGUGAUGAAGCUGGCAUCACUGUGUGAUGAACGGGUGUGGUGGGUACACACUGCCUGCUCUCGCUGGAGCCCGUGCCUCUGGCCAUGGGUCUCUCCUGAAGGGCCCAGGAAACCAUGAAAUCCAGGCUCGGGGCCUCCUCCCCUCAAAGCUGGGCUGACCCUCCCAGCCAGCAGAAGAGACCAAAGAUCAUAGUGGUGACACUGGGCUGCCACUCUGCCCCUGAGCAUCAGGGCUGGGAUCUGAACCCAGAUGUUUCUAACUCCAGAGCCCAACCCUUAAGCCCAUAGCGUGCCGUCUCCUCCCAGGGACCCUGGAGAGGCCAAGGACAGUAGGAUCUGCCUACUUGCUCCCAGCAUACUACCGAGGGGCGGAAACCAUACCACAGGCUACGUUGCAUACCCUUGCUGUUUGCACGGGCCUCGGGCCCUGAAGGAAAUCACUCUUGGCAGGAGCGCCUCCCGAGGGGGAGCUGCCGUGUGGGCAGAGUCAGAGCCGGGACCUCUUGGAGCCAGUCCUCUCUGCUGAUCCAAAACACAGGGCCAAACAACCUCACGCAACGUCCUGAGGCAGCACUGACUCAGUCAACAAGCACUUACAGGCCGCCAACUGUUUACAAGGCCAUGGAGAUGAGUAGUUGACCCUUGCUGGGCUAGUGAGGAGGGUAUGUGUGUGCGCGCUCAGUCGUGUUUGACUCUUU